rnacentral:rRNA from 1 species
UACAGAGGGGGCAAGCGUUAUUCGGAAUUAUUGGGCGUAAAGGGCGCGUAGGCGGCCUGGCAAGUGACGGGUGAAAGCCCUCGGCUCAACCGAGGAACUGCCUGUCAUACUGCCGGGCUAGAGUCCGGAAGAGGAGAGUGGAAUUCCUGGUGUAGCGGUGAAAUGCGCAGAUAUCAGGAAGAACACCAAUGGCGAAAGCAGCUCUCUGGGACGGUACUGACGCUGAGACGCGAAAGCGUGGGGAGCGAACAGG